GUCACGUUGCAUAUCUGCGUUGUGUUGC
rnacentral:sRNA from 1 species